CAUACCUUAAUGUUGCCUCGGCGGAUCAGCCCGCGCCCCGUAAAACGGGACGGCCCGCCAGAGGACCCAAACUCUAAUGUUUCUUAUUGUAACUUCUGAGUAAAACAAACAAAUAAAUCAAAACUUUCAACAACGGAUCUCUUGGUUCUGGCAUCGAUGAAGAACGCAGCAAAAUGCGAUAAGUAAUGUGAAUUGCAGAAUUCAGUGAAUCAUCGAAUCUUUGAACGCACAUUGCGCCCGCUGGCAUUCCGGCGGGCAUGCCUGUUCGAGCGUCAUUUCAACCCUCAAGCCCCCGGGUUUGGUGUUGGGGAUCGGCUCUGCCCUUCUGGGCGGCGCCGCCCCCGAAAUACAUUGGCGGUCUCGCUGCAGCCUCCAUUGCGUAGUAGCUAACACCUCGCAACUGGAACGCGGCGCGGCCAUGCCGUAAAACCCCAACUUCUGAAUGUUGACCUCGGAUCAGGUAGGAAUACCCGCUGAACUUAAGCAUAUCAAUAA
rnacentral:rRNA from 1 species